rnacentral:rRNA from 1 species
GUAGUCUCGCACAGAUGCAAUAUCAAUAAGCGGAGGAAAAGAAACUAACAAGGAUUCCCCUAGUAACGGCGAGUGAAGCGGGAAGAGCUCAAAUUUGAAAUCUUAACGGGUUUCCCUUUACGAAUUGUAGUUUAAAGAAGUGUUUUCUGUUGAGGUUUUGGUAAAAGUUCUUUGGAAUAGGACAUCAUAGAGGGUGAGAAUCCCGUAUUUGACCUUUACUUUCAACUUUGUGAUACACUUUCAAAGAGUCGGAUUGUUUGGGAAUGCAGUCCAAAAUGGGUGGUAAAUUUCAUCUAAAGCUAAAUAUUGGCGAGAGACCGAUAGCGAACAAGUACCGUGAGGGAAAGAUGAAAAGAACUUUGAAAAGAGAGUUAAACAGUACGUGAAAUUGUCAAAAGGGAAGCGUUUGACACCAGUGUUGUUUUUCUGAAAAUCAAUUAAAGAACUGUUUAUGCUAAGCUGUUUAGACUUUAUCAGCUAACUGUUUAGUUAUGAGCUUUUCUUUAAUGCACUUUUCAGUUAACAAGUCGACAUCAAUUUCUUUUGCUGUAAAAAAGCUUGAGGAAGGUGGCUUGAGAUUCGUCUUAAGUGUUUAUAGCCUCUUGCCUAUGCAGUCGGAGAGAUUGAGGUCUGCAGCGUAGAUCCUUCGGGGCUAAAUGCAUUUGUGCUAAGUUAUAGCAUUUUAUAGACAACUUGUUGACUAUGAUUUGUCUUGUAGCUUACUCGCUUAUGUUAUUGUACCUACGCUUAGGAUGUUGAAGACUCUACAGAGAUA